rnacentral:rRNA from 1 species
AGAUUAAGUUAUUAAGGGCGCACGGUGGAUGCCUUGGCACUAGAAGCCGAUGAAGGACGUUACUAACGACGAUAUGCUUUGGGGAGCUGUAAGUAAGCUGUGAUCCAGAGAUUUCCGAAUGGGGGAACCCAGCACGAGUUAUGUCGUGUUAUCCGCAUGUGAAUACAUAGCAUGUGAGAAGGUAGACCCGGAGAACUGAAACAUCU